rnacentral:rRNA from 1 species
CUAAGCUGAGGCCGACAGGCGUAGGCGAUGGAUAACAGGUUGAUAUUCCUGUACCACCUAGUAUCGUUUUAAUCGAUGGGGGGACGCAGUAGGAUAGGCGAAGCGUGCUGUUGGAGUGCACGUCCAAGCAGUAAGGCUGAGUGUUAGGCAAAUCCGGCACUCAUAAGGCUGAGCUGUGAUGGGGAGAGGAAAUUGUUUCCUCGAGUCGUUGAUUUCACACUGCCGAGAAAAGCCUCUAGAUAGAUAACAGGUGCCCGUACCGCAAACCGACACAGGUAGUCAAGAUGAGAAUUCUAAGGUGAGCGAGCGAACUCUCGUUAAGGAACUCGGCAAAAUGACCCCGUAACUUCGGGAGAAGGGGUGCUCUUUAGGGUUCACGCCCAGAAGAGCCGCAGUGAAUAGGCCCAAGCGACUGUUUAUCAAAAACACAGGUCUCUGCUAAACCGUAAGGUGAUGUAUAGGGGCUGACGCCUGCCCGGUGCUGGAAGGUUAAGAGGAGUGGUUAGCUUCUGCGAAGCUACGAAUCGAAGCCCCAGUAAACGGCGGCCGUAACUAUAACGGUCCUAAGGUAGCGAAAUUCCUUGUCGGGUAAGUUCCGACCCGCACGAAAGGCGUAACGAUUUGGGCACUGUCUCAACGAGAGACUCGGUGAAAUCAUAGUACCUGUGAAGAUGCAGGUUACCCGCGACAGGACGGAAAGACCCCGUGGAGCUUUACUGUAGCCUGAUAUUGAAAUUCGGCACAGCUUGUACAGGAUAGGUAGGAGCCUUUGAAACGUGAGCGCUAGCUUACGUGGAGGCGUUGGUGGGAUACUACCCUAGCUGUGUUGGCUUUCUAACCCGCACCACUUAUCGUGGUGGGAGACAGUGUCAGGCGGGCAGUUUGACUGGGGCGGUCGCCUCCUAAAAGGUAACGGAGGCGCUCAAAGGUUCCCUCAGAAUGGUUGGAAAUCAUUCAUAGAGUGUAAAGGCAUAAGGGAGCUUGACUGCGAGACCUACAAGUCGAGCAGGGUCGAAAGACGGACUUAGUGAUCCGGUGGUUCCGCAUGGAAGGGCCAUCGCUCAACGGAUAAAAGCUACCCCGGGGAUAACAGGCUUAUCUCCCCCAAGAGUUCACAUCGACGGGGAGGUUUGGCACCUCGAUGUCGGCUCAUCGCAUCCUGGGGCUGUAGUCGGUCCCAAGGGUUGGGCUGUUCGCCCAUUAAAGCGGUACGCGAGCUGGGUUCAGAACGUCGUGAGACAGUUCGGUCCCUAUCCGUCGUGGGCGUAGGAAAUUUGAGAGGAGCUGUCCUUAGUACGAGAGGACCGGGAUGGACAUACCUCUGGUGUACCAGUUGUCGUGCCAACGGCAUAGCUGGGUAGCUAUGUAUGGACGGGAUAAGUGCUGAAAGCAUCUAAGCAUGAAGCCCCCCUCAAGAUGAGAUUUCCCAACUUCGGUUAUAAGAUCCCUCGAAGAUGACGAGGUUAAUAGGUUCGAGGUGGAAGCGUGGUGACACGUGGAGCUGACGAAUACUAAUCGAUCGAAGACUUAAUCAA